rnacentral:lncRNA from 1 species
CGCGGAUGUUGUUGGGGUUCGCACGGCGUCCUCCGGGGUUGGACAGCAGGAUGUUCUGCGGCUUCAGGUCACGGUGAAUGAUGCCCUUGCUGUGCAGCAGGCGCAUAGCACCCGCGAUCUGCUGCAGGAAGAGCCUGAUGGUGUCCUCGCUCAGGGUCCGCAUGGCUACAGGAAAGGCAGGCUCAGGGGCGCCUGUCACAGCCCGACAGGUGGUGUGGCAGCUCGGGGGAUGGCAGCGCCCUCUUGGGGACCCGCUUCCUCUCCGGCAGCCCCGAAGGUUCAGUGGCAAGGGGGGAGGGGGGCACGACCCAGCACCCCCAGCAGAGGGAGGCAGCCUCAGAGCAGAGAAAGCCACCCAGGCUCCUUCCCGAGUCAGGUACGGGAAUGCUCACCGGGCCGGGGCCCUGCGGUGGGUGCUGGAAUGCAGGCCACAGGAGCAGCAAGCCCACCACAGCCCCCAGUCAUCAAGCACGGGUCGGAGGUGCUCUGCUGCCACAGCCCGAGGACCAGGACAGAUGGUGACACCCGCCUUCGGCUGUGCAGGCCAGAGUCUCCCCAACCCUGCCUGCCCCCACUUCCCGACACCCCACGGGUCCUGCAGCACUGCCUGCCACCCCAUUUGCCGUGUUCCUAUUUCCAGGUACAGGGUGCCCUCUCGGCCGCCACACAGCCACCCAAGUGCCUACCCUCACUACAACUCUGCUUCCUCACCCCUGACGCAGCCCACAGCCAUCCUGGAGCACGUGGGACCUGCACUAAGUCCUGGAGUGGGCAGGUGGCAGGCAGCAUCCACCGUGGCAGAGUCCCUCCCAUCUACCUCGGGGCACCAAGAGACAGGCCCCAUGCCCCCGGCCAGCAAGAGCCACUUCAGCAACCCCUCCUGGCUAGCGCGCUGCCCACUGAGGUGUCCACUCACUGUGUAGGUAGUCAGCUAGGUCACCACCAUUGCAGUACUGAAGAAGACAGGAUGCGCGUCAGGGCACAGGCACAGCCAGCCCCAGGCCCAGGCCCAGCCCCAGGCCCAGGCCCAGGC